rfam:Danio rerio chromosome 14 genomic contig CTG16005, GRCz11 reference primary assembly.
UAGCCGGCAGCUAGCUCUCUGCAACUUUCACAUGGUCGCCCACUGAAGCUAAGCAGGGCUGCGCCCGGUCAGUACCUGGAUGGGAGACCACAUGGGAAAGCUAGGUUGCUCUCUCU